rnacentral:rRNA from 1 species
AACGAACGCUGGCGGCAUGCCUAACACAUGCAAGUCGAACGAGACCUUCGGGUCUAGUGGCGCACGGGUGCGUAACGCGUGGGAACCUGCCCUUAGGUUCGGAAUAACUCCCCGAAAGGGGUGCUAAUACCGGAUAAUGUCUUCGGACCAAAGAUUUAUCGCCUUUGGAUGGGCCCGCGUUGGAUUAGCUAGUUGGUAGGGUAAAAGCCUACCAAGGCGACGAUCCAUAGCUGGUCUGAGAGGAUGAUCAGCCACACUGGGACUGAGACACGGCCCAGACUCCUACGGGAGGCAGCAGUGGGGAAUAUUGGACAAUGGGCGAAAGCCUGAUCCAGCAAUGCCGCGUGAGUGAUGAAGGCCUUAGGGUUGUAAAGCUCUUUUACCCGGGAUGAUAAUGACAGUACCGGGAGAAUAGGCUCCGGCUAACUCCG